UCUGUUCCUCUGUUGAUUAUAUGAAAGGUAGUUUCUGUACCGAUGCAGCAUACGCAAGGGCAGCCAGCUCUUCUUUCCAUUUCUGUCUACUGCCGUAUGCAGUCCUGGUUG